CGACCAAGGUUCGAUUCGAGCGGAGCGAGAAAGCGUUGCCGCAGGCAACGACCCGAAGGGCGAGGCGCAACGCGCCGAGUAAUCCUUCCCCCACCACCA
rnacentral:sRNA from 1 species